rnacentral:tRNA from 1 species
CUAGACAGAGAGGACUCGAACCUCCACAAAAGAAUUCAAAAUUCUUUGUACUCCCGACUAUACUACACUCUA